UACGGAGGGUGCAAGCGUUAUCCGGAUUCACUGGGUUUAAAGGGUGCGUAGGUGGGGAGGUAAGUCAGCGGUGAAAUCCCCGAGCUUAACUUGGGAACUGCCAUUGAUACUAUCUCUCUUGAAUACCUUGGAGGUGAGCGGAAUAUGUCAUGUAGCGGUGAAAAUGCUUAGAUAUGACAUAGAACACCAAUUGCGAAGGCAGCUCACUACACGGUCAUUGACACUGAGGCACGAAAGCGUGGGGAUCAAACAGG
rnacentral:rRNA from 1 species